rnacentral:rRNA from 1 species
GAACGCUUGGCGGCAUGCUUUACACAUGCAAGUCGAACGGUAACAGGGUGCUUGCACCGCUGACGAGUGGCGAACGGGUGAGUAAUAUAUCGGAACGUACCUAGUAAUGGGGGAUAACUAUCCGAAAGGAUAGCUAAUACCGCAUACGCCCUGAGGGGGAAAGAGGGGGAUCGCAAGACCUCUCGUUAUUAGAGCGGCCGAUAUCAGAUUAGCUAGUUGGUGAGGUAAAGGCUCACCAAGGCAACGAUCUGUAGCGGGUCUUAGAGGACGAUCCGCCACACUGGAACUGAGACACGGUCCAGACUCCUACGGGAGGCAGCAGUGGGGAAUCUUGGACAAUGGGCGCAAGCCUGAUCCAGCAAUGCCGCGUGCGUGAAGAAGGCCUUCGGGUUGUAAAGCGCUUUUGUUCGGGAGGAAAUCCUAGUGGCUAAUAUCCAUUGGGGAUGACAGUACCGGAAGAAUAAGGACCGGCUAACUACGUGCCAGCAGCCGCGGUAAUACGUAGGGUCCAAGCGUUAAUCGGAAUUACUGGGCGUAAAGGGUGCGCAGGUGGUUGAUUAAGUGUGAUGUGAAAGCCCCGGGCUCAACCUGGGAAUUGCAUUGCAC